rnacentral:rRNA from 1 species
UACGUAGGGAGCAAGCGUUGUCCGGAAUUAUUGGCGUAAAGCGCGUGUAGGCGGCUUUGCAAGUCGGGUGUGAAAGCCCUCAGCUCAACUGAGGAAGUGCGCCCGAAACUGCAGAGCUUGAGUGCCGGAGAGGGUGGCGGAAUUCCCCAAGUAGAGGUGAAAUUCGUAAGAUAUGGGGAGGAACACCGGUGGCGAAGGCGGCCACCUGGACGGUAACUGACGCUGAGACGCGAAAGCGUGGGAGCAAACAGG